rnacentral:precursor_RNA from 15 species
AAACAUCCAAAAAAUUCCGGUACCACUUUUGGAUAAACCAUACUCAGUUGAUGUAUUAUAAAGCAUCACUGGGUAGAGUUUGUCCAAUAGUUUUACCACCAACCACAAUUUCGCAAC